rnacentral:lncRNA from 1 species
UUUACUGUUACCUGAUGGAGCAGUAGUCUGUAGUUCACUAUUAUUGUUAAAGUACUUAUCCAUCUUUUUCAGCCGGUACCUGUGUCCGUUUGAUAAGAAGCGUCUGUGCCUCAUGUACACUAUCUUCUUAGAUGCAGUUAGGGACACGUAAGCGGUGUCAUCUAUGCAUACCACACAACCUAACUUUCCCUUGAACUGCCCUGAUAAUGUAAAGAGAGCUGGGUAGUCAUUGAUCGUAACAAAGAUAAUUGCUCUUAGUGUGAAUGAUUCUUUGCGGUACUCGUCGAAUAUUUGAACACCUGUUUCCCAUAGUAUCUUCAUGUCCUGCAUUAAGGGCUCCA